GGCACCACAUAUACCGAGAAGAUUAGCAUGAACCUGCACAAGGAUGGCACAAAAAUUUGUCAAGCAUUCCAUGUCUCA
rnacentral:snRNA from 1 species